rnacentral:rRNA from 1 species
ACUCCUACGGGAGGCAGCAGUGAGGAAUAUUGGACAAUGGGCGAGGGCCUGAUCCAGCCAUGCCGCGUGCAGGAAGAAUGCCCUAUGGGUAGUAAACUGCUUUUAUACGGGAAGAAAAGGGGCACGUGUGCCCCUGGUUGACGGUACCGUAAGAAUAAGGACCGGCUAACUCCGUGCCAGCAGCCGCGGUAAUACGGAGGGUCCGAGCGUUAUCCGGAAUUAUUGGGUUUAAAGGGUCCGUAGGCGGGCCGGUAAGUCAGGGGUGAAAGUCUGUAGCUCAACUAUAGAACUGCCUUUGAUACUGCGUCUGAGUCACGGNGAGUUGCCGGAAUAUGUGGUGUAGGCGGUGAAAUGCCAUAGAUAUCACAUAGAACACCGAUUGCGAAGGCAGGUGACUAACC